GGGGCUAAACCAUGCACCGAAGCUGCGGCAGCGACACUGUGUGUUGUUGGGUAGGGGAGCGUUCUGUAAGCCUGUGAAGGUGUGUCGUGAGGCAUGCUGGAGGUAUCAGAAGUGCGAAUGCUGACAUAAGUAACGAUAAAGCGGGUGAAAAGCCCGCUCGCCGGAAGACCAAGGGUUCCUGUCCAACGUUAAUCGGGGCAGGGUGAGUCGACCCCUAAGGCGAGGCCGAAAGGCGUAGUCGAUGGGAAACGGGUUAAUAUUCCCGUACUUGGUGUUACUGCGAAGGGGGGACGGAGAAGGCUAUGUUGGCCGGGCGACGGUUGUCCCGGUUUAAGCGUGUAGGUGUGUGUUCCAGGUAAAUCCGGUUCACUUUAACACUGAGGCGUGACGACGAGGCACUACGGUGCUGAAGCAACAAAUGCCCUGCUUCCAGGAAAAGCCUCUAAGCAUCAGGUAACAUCAAAUCGUACCCCAAACCGACACAGGUGGUCAGGUAGAGAAUACCAAGGCGCUUGAGAGAACUCGGGUGAAGGAACUAGGCAAAAUGGUGCCGUAACUUCGGGAGAAGGCACGCUGACACGUAGGUGAAGUGAUUUACUCAUGGAGCUGAAGUCAGUCGAAGAUACCAGCUGGCUGCAACUGUUUAUUAAAAACACAGCACUGUGCAAACACGAAAGUGGACGUAUACGGUGUGACGCCUGCCCGGUGCCGGAAGGUUAAUUGAUGGGGUCAGCGCAAGCGAAGCUCCUGAUCGAAGCCCCGGUAAACGGCGGCCGUAACUAUAACGGUCCUAAGGUAGCGAAAUUCCUUGUCGGGUAAGUUCCGACCUGCACGAAUGGCGUAAUGAUGGCCAGGCUGUCUCCACCCGAGACUCAGUGAAAUUGAACUCGCUGUGAAGAUGCAGUGUACCCGCGGCAAGACGGAAAGACCCCGUGAACCUUUACUAUAGCUUGACACUGAACAUUGAGCCUUGAUGUGUAGGAUAGGUGGGAGGCUUUGAAGUGUGGACGCCAGUCUGCAUGGAGCCGACCUUGAAAUACCACCCUUUAAUGUUUGAUGUUCUAACGUGGACCCGUGAUCCGGGUUGCGGACAGUGUCUGGUGGGUAGUUUGACUGGGGCGGUCUCCUCCUAAAGAGUAACGGAGGAGCACGAAGGUUGGCUAAUCCUGGUCGGACAUCAGGAGGUUAGUGCAAUGGCAUAAGCCAGCUUGACUGCGAGCGUGACGGCGCGAGCAGGUGCGAAAGCAGGUCAUAGUGAUCCGGUGGUUCUGAAUGGAAGGGCCAUCGCUCAACGGAUAAAAGGUACUCCGGGGAUAACAGGCUGAUACCGCCCAAGAGUUCAUAUCGACGGCGGUGUUUGGCACCUCGAUGUCGGCUCAUCACAUCCUGGGGCUGAAGUAGGUCCCAAGGGUAUGGCUGUUCGCCAUUUAAAGUGGUACGCGAGCUGGGUUUAGAACGUCGUGAGACAGUUCGGUCCCUAUCUGCCGUGGGCGCUGGAGAACUGAGGGGGGCUGCUCCUAGUACGAGAGGACCGGAGUGGACGCAUCACUGGUGUUCGGGUUGUCAUGCCAAUGGCACUGCCCGGUAGCUAAAUGCGGAAGAGAUAAGUGCUGAAAGCAUCUAAGCACGAAACUUGCCCCGAG
rnacentral:rRNA from 1 species